rnacentral:rRNA from 1 species
CAGUCGCCACGGGAAUACGGAGGGGGCUAGCGUUGUUCGGAAUUACUGGGCGUAAAGCGCACGUAGGCGGCUUGGUAAGUUAGAGGUGAAAGCCUGGAGCUCAACUCCAGAAUUGCCUUUAAGACUGCCGAGCUAGCAGGUGAGAGAGGUAAGUGGAAUUCCGAGUGUAGAGGUGAAAUUCGUAGAUAUUCGGAAGAACACCAGUGGCGAAGGCGGCUUACUGGCUCAUACUGGACGCUGAGGUGCGAAAGCGUGGGGAGCAAACAGGAUUAGAUACCCCCGUAGUCCCUGUCUCUUAUAC